rnacentral:rRNA from 1 species
UACGGAGGGUGCAAGCGUUAAUCGGAAUUACUGGGCGUAAAGGGUGCGUAGGUGGUAUGGUAAGUUAUCUGUGAAAUUCCUGGGCUUAACCUGGGACGGUCAGAUAAUACUGCUGUACUCGAGUAUGGGAGAGGGUAGUGGAAUUUCCGGUGUAGCGGUGAAAUGCGUAGAGAUCGGAAGGAACACCAGUGGCGAAGGCGGCUACCUGGCCCAAUACUGACACUGAGGCACGAAAGCGUGGGGAGCAAACAGG